rnacentral:rRNA from 1 species
CAACCUGCCCAUCACUUGGGAAUAACCUUGCGAAAGUAAGACUAAUGCCCAAUGACAUUUAUAGAAGGCAUCGGAAAUGAAUUAAAGAUUUAUCGGUGAUGGAUGGGGAUGCGUCUGAUUAGCUUGUUGGCGGGGUAACGGCCCACCAAGGCGACGAUCAGUAGGGGUUCUGAGAGGAAGGUCCCCCACAUUGGAACUGAGACACGGUCCAAACUCCUACGGGAGGCAGCAGUGAGGAAUAUUGGUCAAUGGGCGAGAGCCUGAACCAGCCAAGUAGCGUGCAGGAUGACGGCCCUAUGGGUUGUAAACUGCUUUUAUAGGGGAAUAAAGUGAUCCACGUGUGGUUUUUUGCAUGUACCCUAUGAAUAAGGACCGGCUAAUUCCGUGCCAGCAGCCGCGGUAAUACGGAAGGUCCGGGCGUUAUCCGGAUUUAUUGGGUUUAAAGGGAGCGUAGGCCGGAGAUUAAGCGUGUUGUGAAAUGUAGAUGCUCAACAUCUGCACUGCAGCGCGAACUGGUUUCCUUGAGUACGCAUAAAGUGGGCGGAAUUCGUGGUGUAGCGGUGAAAUGCUUAGAUAUCACGAAGAACUCCGAUUG